AUGAACGCUGGCGGCGUGCCUAAUACAUGCAAGUCGAGCGAACAGACGAGGAGCUUGCUCCUCUGACGUUAGCGGCGGACGGGUGAGUAACACGUGGAUAACCUACCUAUAAGACUGGGAUAACUUCGGGAAACCGGAGCUAAUACCGGAUAAUAUAUUGAACCGCAUGGUUCAAUAGUGAAAGACGGUUUUGCUGUCACUUAUAGAUGGAUCCGCGCCGCAUUAGCUAGUUGGUAAGGUAACGGCUUACCAAGGCGACGAUGCGUAGCCGACCUGAGAGGGUGAUCGGCCACACUGGAACUGAGACACGGUCCAGACUCCUACGGGAGGCAGCAGUAGGGAAUCUUCCGCAAUAGGCGAAAGCCUGACGGAGCAACGCCGCGUGAGUGAUGAAGGUCUUCGGAUCGUAAAACUCUGUUAUUAGGGAAGAACAAAUGUGUAAGUAACUAUGCACGUCUUGACGGUACCUAAUCAGAAAGCCACGGCUAACUACGUG
rnacentral:rRNA from 1 species